GGAAUAUUGCACAAUGGGCGCAAGCCUGAUGCAGCGACGCCGCGUGAGGGAUGACGGCCUUCGGGUUGUAAACCUCUUUCAGUAGGGAAGAAGCGAAAGUGACGGUACCUGCAGAAGAAGCGCCGGCUAACUACGUGCCAGCAGCCGCGGUAAUACGUAGGGCGCAAGCGUUAUCCGGAAUUAUUGGGCGUAAAGAGCUCGUAGGCGGUUUGUCGCGUCUGCUGUGAAAGACCGGGGCUCAACUCCGGUUCUGCAGUGGGUACGGGCAGACUAGAGUGCAGUAGGGGAGACUGGAAUUCCUGGUGUAGCGGUGAAAUGCGCAGAUAUCAGGAGGAACACCGAUGGCGAAGGCAGGUCUCUGGGCUGUAACUGACGCUGAGGAGCGAAAGCAUGGGGAGCGAACAGGAUUAGAUACCCGUG
rnacentral:rRNA from 1 species